rnacentral:lncRNA from 1 species
UCGGAGCUGGGGACUGAACCCAGGGCCUUGCGUUUGCUAGGCAAGCGCUCUACCACUGAGCUAAAUACCCAACCCUCAAAAUGCUUCUUACAAGCCUUCCCUCUCACCUCCUCCUCCCUUCCAGGGCCCUGUGAGAGGAGGUGUUUCAGUCUGGCCAUGCUGGCCUGGAGCUCAGGGCCCCUGACCACAAGCCAACCAGAAAACCUCACCUCUACAUAGCCUUGUUCAUGCCUCAGACUCCUCUUACUUCUCCCCUACACCCUUGUGGGAUCCAGUGAGAGAAACAAGACAUUGCUGCAUCCGGAGUAUCCAAAAAAAAAAAAAAAAA